CUAACAUUUCUUGACUCAAAAUCUCUAACUUUUGUUUAGAAACUGUACGUCCAUCAAUAGUUGUGUCAUUCUCAAAAUCCUCAUUUCGAUUAUAUCGAACCCCUAUCUUAGCAGCUUGUUUCAUGUAACCACUACAAAAAUGCAUACAUUUAUCGGCUAAAGAACGCUUUGCUUUGCAGCCUUCAUGUCUUGAACGAUUUCUAACAUAUCUUUUAAGUGUGUUCAUAAACCUAAUUCACACAUAAUAUGCACGAGAGACCUAAAUAAUUAGAAGAAGAAAGGUUGAAUAAGUACAAAAGUAUAAUGCUAAGUUACCUCACAAAUGGGUACAUCCAACGAUAUUGUAUAGGUCCGCCAAUACGAACUUCAUGCCCAAGGUGAAUAGUUAAAUGAAUCAUUAUGUCAAAAAAAGAAGGGGGAAAAAGCUUUCAAGCAUACAUAAAAUCACAGCAACAUCCUCCUCAAACUUUUCUAAAUUAUUUUUAUUAAUAACUCUUCGACAUAUUUCGUUAAAAAAUGCACAUAGUCAAAAAAUUGCAUUUCUUGGUCCUCUAGGUAAAAGUCAUCUUAAUGUAACGAAUAACAAUUGUUGUAUGAGCACGUGACAAUCAUGAGACUUUAGAUUUAAAAUUCUAUCAUUUGUUAUUGAGAUACACUUUGAAAUGUUAGAGCUAUAACCAUUAGGUAAUCUUAAAUCAAAUAAUCUCUUACAAAAUAACUCUCUCUUUUUUGGAUAGCAUGUAUGAUGCUGCGGGUAAUUAAUAUGUAUUUCCUUUCAACUCUGGAUGAAGAUCUUUUCUAAUACCCAUAUUAAGCAAAUACUUAUGAGAAUUGAGCCCAUCUUUUGAUUUUCCUUUCAUAUUCAGAAUAGUACUAAGUAUGCUUUCACAAACAUUAUUCUCAAUGUGCAUUACAUCCAAAUUAUGACGUAAAAGUAGUAUCUGAAAAUAAUGAUAUAAAUUUAGAAAAAAAGUUAUGCAAAAAGAUAACUAAAUUCAAAUAGUUUGAAAAACUAACCUCCCAAUAUGGUAGAUCAAAGAAUAUUGAUUUCUUUUUCCAUGGCCAAUGGGAAUCUAAUUUUUUUUGUUUCCUUUUUUCCCCUUUUUCCCCCAAUCAUUGCUAACAUUCUUUAUUGAACCAUCAUUUCUCGACCAGUUAAUAUUUUUGGAUUGGGCGUGUAAUCCUUAUUUCCAUCAAACCAAGCUUCUUUCGAUCGAAAAUGAUGAUUAUACGAAAUAAAUCUUCUAUGACCUAUAUAUGCGAACUUUCGACUAUAUGUCAACCAUUUUACACAUGCAGAUAAACCACAUAUAGGGCAUGCCGCCUCGUCCUUUGUAGGAUAUCCAAAUAAGUUUUCAUAAAUAAAAAAAUCAUUAAUUGUCCACAUCAAUACAACCUUCAAAUUGAAGAUAAACUUGGUAAGUCCAUCAUAUAUUUCAACACCGAUAUUCCACAACUCCUUUAAGUCUUCUCUAAGUGGUUUUAGAUAUACAUCUAUAUCAUUUCCAGGUUGCUUUGGACCUGGGAUUAACAAAGUCAAUAAUAAGUUUUCCUUGGACAUGCAUAUCCUAGGAGGUAGAUUAUAUGUAACUAGAAUCACCGACCAACAACUAUACCUAGAACUUAGGUCACCAAAAGGAUUAAAUCCAUCGGACGAAAGGCCAAGCCUAAGAUUUUUGUGGUUCUGAUGCAAAAGAAGGCUAUUUUUGAUCAAUUCUCUCCCAAGCUAAUGAAUCAACUGGAUGACACAUUUUUCCAUCUUGACUUUUGUGAUUUAAGUGCCAUAUUAGUUGUUCUGCCGUGUCAGGUGACCUAAACAUUAUUCUAAAUCAUGGUACAAUUGGAAAAUAUCGUAAAACUUUUGCAGGUAUUCCCUUUUGAAUAUUCUUAGUCCGCUUAUUAACUUUCCAACGUGAAGAUGCACAUUUUGGACAUGUCUCCAAAUCCUUUAGAUCCUUUCUAAACAAACAACAAUCAUUUACGCAUGCAUGUAUCUUCUCAUAUCCUAAAUCAAAGGUUUUCAACAACCUUUUUGUUGAAUUACAGGAAUCGGGAAGAGUGCUCCCAUGCGGUAGCAUGUCUCGAAUUAUUUCAAGAAAUUCAUUGAAACCAUUAUUAGAUAUACCAUGCGUAGUUUUAAACUUGUAUAAUACAACGAUUGUAGAUAUUCUUGUAUACUUUGUACAACUGGGAUAUAAAGGAAUUUCAACCCCCUUGUAUAAAUUAGAAAAUUCUUUCUUUUGAUCUUUAUUCUCAAGUUCUAUGUUAUUGUCAUCUUGAAGAAAUGCAUCUCUAUACAUCCUAUAUGUCUCAAAAUUUUCUACAUCUUGAGGAGGUAAUGAUGCAUUUGAUUUUUUGCCAUGAAACACCCACGCAGUAUAAGUAAGAUCCAUCCCAUGAAUGAUCAAAUGCCCAUACUUGUAUCAAAAUGUUGGUAAAAUAGGGUUUUGCAACAUUUGCAAGGGCAUUUGACCUUUUUUGGAUUCCCUGCAUUGGCUUGCACCAUAUUUGCAAACUUUCUUGCACCGUGUUGAUAUGCCUUCAAAACUCUAUAAUAAAACAAUAAGUAAAUCAUCUAAAAGUGUAUACGAACAUAUUUAAAAACAUUCUAAACUUAAGGGGAUAAGAUAACCUUAAUAGGUGUAUCCAAUCUUUAUCCAUGAUGCUAUACCCACAGUAUUAAGACAUAAC
rnacentral:lncRNA from 1 species